CCUCAGUACCCCUUGCAUGUUGUAAGAGGUGACUAAAUGGGGCAUACCGAAAAAAUCGAGGCCCUGUGUCACAGCAGGUGUAGCAAAAUAAACAUCCCUCCCUGCUCAAAGGCCGUAGGCUCUGAGCAUAGGCUUAACUUUUGCAGCCCAUCACCGGCAAUGGUGAUGUCUCCAAAUGAGUGAAACAAUCAAUAUUAAUCUCAAAUAGUUAAGUUGAAAAUUUUCACAAAUAAAAAGCAAUUGAAUGCGCGAUCAAAUUUGCAAAGAAGAAAAAACAGGUAUGCAGUUACUAUACAAAAUAUUUUUUGUCACCUAUUCAUGAUUUACUUUGCAGGUACCAAGGAGAGUGAGAAAAUGAGCAACAUCAUAUUGUCAAGCCAAAUGAAGAAGGAUAUACCCAAGCUAUCGCCAUUGUUUCAAACUUCCCAAAUCGAGGCUUUUCACAGCACAAUUAAUCACUUUGCCCCAAAGAUGAUAGCUUUUUCUUAUCAUGGAAUGUAUUGUAGGUUGAUGAUUGCAGCUCUACAUUUUAAUGAGAAUUCCUCAAGGUCGCAUGCCAUAACGAAGGAGGGGGACCGACAAUUUAAGAUCAGCUUCCCAAAGUACAAGCAUGGGGAAUGCAGUGUUCGUAGGAAGCCUGUUGAUCCUACAUUUAACUAUGCAUCCGUCCUGAUCUAAGAGACUUAUUUGGCCUUUCAAGAGUCAUCAGAACCAUUACCAUGCUCAUUACCAGCUCAACCACCUCCACUGUGCAGUGAAUUUUUCCAUCCUCACAAAGAAGAAGCGGUUCUACAUUUUAGAUCAAGGUUCAGUCGGAAGGAGACAUCCGUGUGAAUGUGAACAAAACGUGACGCUAGCUCUUUGGACAUUCUAGCAAAGCAGAUAAAAGAUAUGUUGGUCAUACAGAUGUGCUCUUUUUUAAUCUUGUUUAAAAAUGUUAAAUUAUUGUGAAACAUCUUUAUCUUCGGGUUUUGUUUAAAUCUGAACCAAAGUCAUACACAGCAGUAGGUUGUGAAAACACAUUAUUUUUUUUACAAAUACAAAAUUACUGGGGACAACCAUGAUAUAGGGUCUGACCGUUAGGUAACAAUCUGUUUGGAACAGUGUAUUUUUGCAAAUAAUUUAUAGAAUGAAAUAUUAGCAUAGUAUAUGUAGUAUUAGCUUAGUAUAUAUAAAAGUUGUAAGAGUUAAAAAAUGAUAAAACUUUUUUUCUUAAAUGGGAACAUGAAAGCAGGGUCCUCGUCCCGUUCCUGGGUGCAGAAACAUUUUAUUUAAAAUAUUGUUUGUGUAGCUGAUGCUUUCUAGAAAAUUGAUAUUUUGUAGUAUUCUGUUUUGCCAGUAUAUAAUUAUGAUAUUUUUACUACUAUUAUGUUCAUAAAUGUAUUAUUUUUGGGCCAUUUCUGUUAGAAUGUUGUGCUUGAUUUUUUUUUGUAUACAUCAUGUAUGAAUCGUACAUUUAUUUAAAAAAAAGUUGCUUCAUCCAAAUCAUACCAUCACUCAGGUGCAUUGAACCCUUGAUACACCUCAGAGGCAAAGGAAUUCCGUCACAGCACAUGAGGGUAGAGGGACUCGUACCUUGUGCCCUAGGUAUCCUUAGCACCAUCAAACAAAUUAUCUGUGUGCUGUGUAUCUGUUACACCUGCAAUUCCAGGAAAUGUUUGGAAUUAUUCACUAAUGAUGAACUAGCAAUGGUCAUGUGAAUUUUGCAUUGAUUAGAUCAAUAAAAAAAAUUGACUUGCUCUUCAAUUGUUGCCUUCAUUUCUCCAGUAUUGGUAGUAUGCCGUCUCGAGCUCAUACUCAUCUAAACACACUGAUGAAAACCCAGGGUGUUCAGUAAUUCGGGCCAGUUCCUUGUUUAUUGACUCCCUCUCCUCAUCAACCCUUGGCAAUUCGGUGCAGCAUGCACUUUCCUUGGCAGCUGACAUGGAAAUAGAAUCCACAUGGACACCUAAAAUGAUUUGUAAACCAUGUAAAA